UAUAUUAUCUUUACAGAAAGAUACAUGAGAAAUUGGACAAGAUAUUACAGCAGACGAGCAAUAGAAGCCGAAAGCAUACACCUGAAAAGCCAGCAUUUUUACCAAUAUCAUCAAUAGCGGAUGUUGAAAAAUUUGAAACUGCUAAUGAUGAAGAAUAUAUGACAUUGGUGAAUUAUUUGAUUUUUAUUGGUGGCUUCAAUGCCAAAGAGAGCAUACAUUUAUGCGUAAAAGAGAUUUUUCAAGAUCGCUUAAUGACUUCAUACACUUGGUUUGGUCGUGAAAAUCAACGGCCAUUAUUUAAUACCCGCUUGGUUAAAGCUAUUUAUGAUGCUGUAUGCGAAAA